rnacentral:lncRNA from 1 species
AUUAUUAAUACAUCAUAAAUAUUUUUAGAUAAUAAUACACCAUAAAUAAUUAAUACACCACACCAUUAAAUAAUUAAUACAUCAUAAAUAAGUAAUACGCUAUAAAUACAUCAUAAAUAAUUAAUACACCAUUAAUAUAUCAUAAUAAUUAAUAAUUAAUACACCAUAAUUAAUAUACCAUAAAUAAUAAUGAAUACUUUUGGAUACCGUGUCAGCUCACCCCACCCUCCUCCUGAUGUACAGAUCCUCCUCGUCUUCUUUAGGAUAGAUAUAUUCUUGCUACAACUUUGCCAUCUCUACCUCUAGUCCUACCUAUUGAAAAAAAUAGUUAAAAUCAAAUAAAUAAUAAUAUAAUUAAAAAAAUUAUUUAAAAAAUAUUUUAAGAAAAUAUUUAACAACUAUCCGAAAACUCGUGCAUGAAGUUUUCGAAAAUGUUAAGUUGAAGUUUAUGGGUAGUGUAUUUCUCUGAAAAACUUGAAAUAAGUUUCGCAGUAAUUCCGGAGAACUUUAAAAAUGAUUUCCUAAAGUAAUAUUCUGUACUAGAAAACUUUUAUCAAGUUUUCCGAAAUUGAAGUUGUGUAACCGAAAACUUAGAAAAAAAUUCAGAAAAAAAGAAUUUUUUGACACUCGCUUGUUCUGAAAAUGUUUGAAAUAAAAAAUAAUCAUUUUUACUAUAUAUAAGAAUAUUUUAAUAUUUUUCUUUAUAUUUUGGGGAUACAUAAAUAAAGGAGGGGCUACGGUAAAAUUUUCUUAUUCUUACAGUAUGUCAAGCUUGGAAUUCAUGCGGCAUGUGUUGGACCUAUUGAGUGACAUGCUACAAGCUGUAAAUCCCAGUGACCGUGCGGUAUGUUUAGCAGUGCUGUUUUGCCUUUCUAAAUCCUCUUUGCAAAUAAGUAAAAUGGUUAAGUGUUUGUUUUUUAUGCUCUAUAGGUUGUAAAAGACGAAAUAAGGAAUAG